UACGUAGGGGGCGAGCGUUGUCCGGAUUUAUUGGGCGUAAAGAGCUCGUAGGCGGUUCGAUAAGUCGGAUGUGAAAUCUCCACGCUCAACGUGGAGGGUGCAUUCGAUACUGUCGUGACUAGAGUCCGGUAGAGGAGUGUGGAAUUCCUGGUGUAGCGGUGAAAUGCGUAGAUAUCAAGAGGAACACCUGCGGCGAAGGCGGGUUGCUGGGCCGACACUGACGCUGAUGCGCGAAAGCUAGGGGAGCGAACGGG
rnacentral:rRNA from 1 species